UACGUAGGGUGCGAGCGUUAAUCGGAAUUACUGGGCGUAAAGCGUGCGCAGGCGGUUUUGUAAGCCAGAUGUGAAAUCCCCGGGCUUAACCUGGGAAUGGCAUUUGGGGCUGCAAGGCUUGAGUUUGGCAGAGGAGACUGGAAUUCCUGGUGUAGCAGUGAAAUGCGUAGAUAUCAGGAGGAAUACCGAUGGCGAAGGCAGGUCUCUGGGCUAGAACUGACGCUCAUGCACGAAAGCGUGGGGAGCAAACAGG
rnacentral:rRNA from 1 species